AAACGCAUCUAGGCAAAGUGUGGACCCGACCAGGCGGGUUUUCCUCCUUCUCGCAACUCCUCCUCCUGCCCCCCUCCCUCCCAAAUCUCAUCUGAGUGAGUCAGCUGAGGGUGGCAGCUCAGAAGCGAGGCAGCCGUGAGGCGGAGGACAGGCUGGGGGAUCCCAAAGGGUGCGCUCCAGCCCCCAACCCAGGCACUGGGACUCUGGUGGCACCCUGGGUGGCAGGCAAGCCUUGAAAUCAAGUGCACGAGCCUUGGAAAGGAGGACCGGGAGAGUUAUGGCAUUUAUGAAUGAAGAAGAGAAAGAGAAUCACUCGGAUGGGAAAAGUUAACUGGAUUGUUCCCACCUGCAUGGAUCACCGGGAUGAAGCUGUGCCACCCUGUAGGAAUUAGAAGACCAUGUCCAGGAAUUGAGCACUGGGUGCAGGAUCCAGUCUUCUGAGGCCCUGAAACCACAUGGGUCACCAUAGUGCGCUUCAUGGGGUGGGAAGUGGUGGCCUCUAAGUGUCUAUCAACUGUGAAGACUGCAAAGAGGGAUCCAUGGCUGUUGGAGCAAUGAGAUACGCGAUGACGUAGACAGAUCCGGAAAGCGCAUCGUCUCCUGAGCAGAAGGGCACUCAUAAGCAACUUAGCCGUCUCGCCUUGCGGCCUGGAACCCCUGGCAAUUUCCGGAGCACCGGCAAGAGACUUUUGCACAGUUUCUGCUUGGAGUCUACCGACUGUCUGUCUCAGAGGUCUGGACAGCUGCUUGUUACAUUUGGCUCACGCUAGCUUAAAAAAGGAAUUUAUGGACCUUACUGCAGAACGUCCCAAUUCUUCAGGCCAAGGUGCCUGUGUUCCUGCUCGGUUUCUGGAUUGCUUGGUACUUAAAUGAAACAUCUUAUUAAUCAUUUCCCGGGAAUGCUGUGCAGGCAAAAGGAAAACAAAGGCAUUCAGGAGCCACAAUGUCUUGAACAAGUCAGCAAAGAAAAACAGUUCCGCCUUUGGAAUGUAUGAAAAUGAAGACCGUUGCAGGAGGUCUUGAGCCACAGAGCUGGCUCCAGAGGCAUUGGGAGGAGAAACGCGGCAGGCCUGGCUCACUCAUUAUAUUUCAAGAUCUAUCCCAGCUUGUCACAACAUGGACUGUGUAACUGAGACGAUUCGCGGUUGGUGUUCCCAUGCUGAGGCAUGUGCUGCCCCGGCCCUUGGUUGCUGCGCAAUUUGCUCUCUAUGGACUGUACCUGGGGUGCCUACCCUGGACUUCAGACAAGCUUCUUCAAGAGUAGCCCCUGCCAGAGCUGGAGCCAACAGCAAGAGCAGCCCAGGGCCACUCUGCCCAGGCUCAGAGGCAUCACUGGGAAAGAGGCAGGGGCAGAAGGAACUGGGGCGGGAAGCCCUGAAGGGUGUCGAGUCCCAGGACAAGGGACUGGGGUGUGUCCCAGCAGACCCCCAGGGAAGCAGCAGCUUUGGACUCGCCUGACCCAACCCCUUGCUGCCAGACAGGCUUAAAUUGCCCCAACUUUCCCCAUGAAGCUCGGACAGGAGGACGGAGGAGCAACUGCCUUCUGGGGUCAGAGUCUGUCCCCGCUCCUGCAGGCCGGAAGCACGUGCGGUCAGCGGUGGGCCAGAGCCUCUCAGCCUCUCAGCAAGGGCCUUCCUGUAGCUCUCGGCUCCUCCAACAGCCCCAUCCCUUAGCACAGGCGGGGCUGGCGGAGCACUGCAGGGGCCAGGUGCAGCCACCGUGCAGCAAGGCACAGCUGCCUGAUCAAACCAGAUCAAAAGCCAUUCGAUCAUCCAAGGACUAUUUUCAUUCGAUAUUUAUUGAUUUCUACCACUCGCUGGGGCUGUACAGGGCCCUGAGCUUGCCGUGAGGAGCACAUUUCAGCCCCCACCCCCUCGGGGCUCACAGUCUGGUAGAGGAAGCACAUGAAAUAAAAGAAUUUGCACAUGUAAAUAUCUCAUUACAAAUGCGCAAGAGCCAUGAAGGAAAAAAAAAGAACACGAUGGGAGGUAAUCACAAAGUCCACUUAUUUUAGACAAAGUGGUUGGCGACAGCCACAUUUUUGCCAAGACCUAAAGGAUGGGCAACAGUAAAAAUAAAAAUCAUCAUCAUCGUAAAAA
rnacentral:lncRNA from 1 species